CAGUAGCCACGGGAAUACGUAGGUGGCAAGCGUUGUCCGGAAUUAUUGGGCGUAAAGGGCUCGCAGGCGGUCUCUUAAGUCUGAUGUGAAAGCCCCCGGCUCAACCGGGGAGGGUCAUUGGAAACUGGGAAACUUGAGUGCAGAAGAGGAGAGUGGAAUUCCACGUGUAGCGGUGAAAUGCGUAGAGAUGUGAGGAACACCAGUGGCGAAGGCGACUCUCUGGUCUGUAACUGACGCUGAGGAGCGAAAGCGUGGGGAGCGAACAGGAUUAGAUACCCGGGUAGUCCCUGUCUCUUAUACA
rnacentral:rRNA from 1 species